AGCGAACGCUGGCGGCAGGCUUAACACAUGCAAGUCGAGCGCCCCGCAAGGGGAGCGGCCGACGGGAGAGUAACACGUGGGAACAUACCUUUUGGUUCGGGACAACCGAGGGAAACUUCAGCUAAUACCGGAUAAGCCCUUACGGGGAAAGAUUUAUCGCCGAAAGAUUGGCCCGCGUCUGAUUAGCUAGUUGGUGAGGUAACGGCUCACCAAGGCGACGAUCAGUAGCUGGUCUGAGAGGAUGAUCAGCCUCACUGGGACUGAGACACGGCCCAGACUCCUACGGGAGGCAGCAGUGGGGAAUAUUGGACAAUGGGGGCAACCCUGAUCCAGCCAUGCCGCGUGAGUGAUGAAGGCCUUAGGGUUGUAAAGCUCUUUUGCCCGGGAAGAUAAUGACGGUACCGGGAGAAUAAGCCCCGGCUAACUUCGUG
rnacentral:rRNA from 1 species